AUGAAAAUCCUGCUUCCCUCCCAUAACUCUUGUCAGCUUGCUAAGCAUUUCUGUUUACACAAGUUCUGGAGUGAGCAUUGGUCUCUCAGGCUCUGACAAGACCCUGGCCUUCUAAGCUUGCUUUCCAGGGAAUCUCAGCAAACCACAAAAAGAAUCUCUCUGUUUCUUCCUUCUUUACUCAGUUGUUUUUUUUUUUUUUUAAAUACAAGACAAUUAACUGUUUCUCUCGAUGUUGAAAUGUUUUCUCUUGCAGAUGCCCCAGCAGCAGAAAGCUUAGCUGGGAACACAGGCUCUGGGACGAGAAGAGGCACACCCAGCCGGGCUCACUUCUGACCCUUUGCUGAACUCAGUCUUGCCCCUGCCCAGAUUAAGGGCUAAGCCAGUCCUCAUCGUCAGCACAGCAGUAUCGAGAGGAAGACUGCGGCUGCUCUAAUUGCUAUGAAGUCUCUUGCCCUCAAAACCCUGAAGCACCAAAGCCUGAAUCCUUCCCGCGAAACACUGACCUCUCUCUCUCGGGCCCAGUCAUGCCCACUGCCCAAGUGCAGCAGCCGGGGAGAGCAGAGAUUGUUCUCAUCAUCGCCAAGGGCCGUGGAGAAGAGGAUGCUAGGAGACUUGCCUAUGAAUGAGGGCUUCUAUCUCACAUGUCCUCAGCCUUCUCAUGUUGGCCUUGACUUUCCAUCCUCAGUCUUGUGGUUGGCUGAAAUGUGGGCAUGUGGGUGGUAGGCAAGGACAGGUGCCCUUCUUUCUCUUUCAGAUCGUUCCCCCUGCUUGGCUGGGCUGCUUCUGUGUUCCCUGGAGAUGACAGCUAGGAACCUGGCCACCAGCUUCUGUUGUUCCCUGGGUUCCUUUUGGGCUUGGCCAGUGUGAGACAAGGGCAGGACAUCAGAAGUUGAGAGAGCAUCUCUUCCCCAUUGCUGCCUUUGCUGCCAUGUUUUGUCCCUGACAGGAGCUAUGCCCCUCCAUUCUGUGGCUCUCCCAGGUGACAUCCUGUAGGGUCUCAGCUCUCAAUAUAGACCAGCCACAUUAUUUCUUCCCUUGGCUCCUCUGGGCUCCAGGAUGACAGCAUCUCCCUGCUAUUACCAGUUCCCAGGGGGAGUUGGGGGUGGGGCCUCAGCAUUCCUGACACCUCCCAAUGAUCUAUAAACUAUUCCUCUACUGACA
rnacentral:lncRNA from 1 species